UUUGUACUAUCUCUUUUGUUGCUAAGCAUUAUAAUUAUUUCUUUAACCAUUAUACAUAUUUAACUGACUACUUUGUGUUUUAGAUGGCAGUAUAGCAGAUCACUCGAGGCAUGCUGAGACCAUGAAUUAACAUUUCUAUCACUUGGGAAAGUUACAACAUCUUCCGUUGAAAAUGGAAUAGAAGUUGGCAGUAUAUCAGAUCAAUCAAGGCACGCUGAGACACGAAUUCACAUUUCUACCACCAAGGAAAGUAUCAACAUCCUAUGUUGAAAAUGGACUAGAAGAUACUGAUAAUAAUAUUGGAUUUAUGCAAUGUGCGUGCAAUGGUUAUUGAAUAUAAUUGAUACUAAAUUAAUAGCUGUGAAACAAUUGAGAUUUGUUAAAUAUCUGAAUAAAAUAAUAGUAAACA